UUUCAUCUCUAGCAUGGUGGUGAGAUUUCAUAUGUGUGUGCCUUAAUGCACAGGUCCAUAGUCUCUGGCACGGUGUUUUAAUUUAGUAUCUCUAAAUGUGAUCAUUUUUGAGCUAUUAGGGUUAUUGCUGAAAAACUAUUGUUCCAGAGAAGCCAAUUUCAUCUUCUCUCUUCAUCUUCUACAUGUUGCUAGCUUCCAUUUUGGGGGAUGUGUGCAUUAGGGUUUGUAUGGAUACCUGCAUGGGAAUAAGUCUGCAUAACUCUGUUAGUCACAACUGAAUCUUUCAGAGGAGGAAAGAGCAGACACUAGGCACAGAACAAAGAGCAAAUGAAACAGGAACUGUGGAAUAACACUGUGUUCCCAAAGAAAACAUAACUGCCAUAGAUCACAGAAUGAAAGCCCCAGAGCACGCAGCAGAGAAGUCCAGCAACAGGAGUCAACAUUUACAGAAAACCCUGUAGGAAGACUGUGGCACUACCAACUGAUCAACAUGUUACAGAACUCAUUUUAUACUGCAGCCAGGCUGAGGAGGGCCCAUCACCUGCACAUAAAUAUUUGGACAGUGGCGACAACUUGAAGACAGCUAGCUGCAGAGUGAUAUUCCAGAAUAAGAGUUUUGAAGCUCCAGAUGACUAGCUGACCUGGGUAUUAAUGCUGGAUAUAGCAACGUCCUUCUAUGUCCUUCUAAAUUUUCUUCAUGAGUAGUGAUAAGUUAUGCUGAGAAAAAUUCUUGAACCUACAGUUAUACAACAUUGUUCUUGCCGCCUUUCAAAAAUGGACAAUGUCUCCCAUAUGGAAUAUCUACUGAUGAUCUUGCAAGAAGGUGAAUAAAAAAUCCAAUGAAGACAUAAAACGAGUUUCAUUUAAAAAAUCUGGUAAAAUGGAAGUUUGCUUUACACAAACAGUAAAGAAGCCUUGGAAGAUAAUGUUGACUUCCCAUGCUCAAAAGUACUCUGACUCAGGAAGAUAGCUCCAGCCCUUCAAAGGAAGGGCUGUCUGCAAUAAAUGCCCAUGGAGACCUCUCAGCAAUUCCAUAAGAUAAGUGAAUUGGCUUAAAUCAAAUGUUUUGCAGUUCCAUUUACAGAGCAUUUACUGGCCAUCGUGUACUACUCAAGUUACUAGAACACUAAGUUGACUCAUGCUUGGAAAUACUGGUUUUAUGUUGCUAUCAGAGUAUUGUCAUAAAUCCACCCACAAUUACAAAGAGUCCUACUCUGCUGCUGUAGCUACCUUUAACUCCUUGCCCUCAGCAAAUUGUAUGCCUAGGGAGAUGGACUACUUCGGCCUUGAGAAAUUUCCAAUUAGGUCAUUUUGAGAAGCAGUCUGGAUGUGUGGUCUGAAAUAGCAUUUCCAGUUUUUGCCUAUUUUUAUUUUUGAGAACUGCUUGCAAAUAAAUGCCACUGAGUUUGUUAGGAA
ensembl:lncRNA LINC02101 long intergenic non-protein coding RNA 2101